UGGGGAAUAUUGCACAAUGGGCGCAAGCCUGAUGCAGCAACGCCGCGUGAACGAUGAAGGUCUUCGGAUCGUAAAGUUCUGUUGCAGGGGAAGAUAAUGACGGUACCCUGUGAGGAAGCCCCGGCUAACUACGUGCCAGCAGCCGCGGUAAUACGUAGGGGGCUAGCGUUAUCCGGAUUUACUGGGCGUAAAGGGUGCGUAGGUGGUCUUUCAAGUCGGUGGUUAAAGGCUACGGCUCAACCGUAGUUAGCCUCCGAAACUGGAAGACUUUAGUGCAGGAGAGGAAAGUGGAAUUCCCAGUGUAGCGGUGAAAUGCGUAGAUAUUGGGAGGAACACCAGUAGCGAAGGCGGCUUUCUGGACUGCAACUGACACUGAGGCACGAAAGCGUGGGUAGCAAACAGG
rnacentral:rRNA from 1 species